rnacentral:rRNA from 1 species
GACGAACGCUGGCGGCGUGCUUAACACAUGCAAGUCGAACGAAGAGCGACGGAAGCUUGCUUCUAUCAAUCUUAGUGGCGAACGGGUGAGUAACGCGUAAUCAACCUGCCCUUCAGAGGGGGACAACAGUUGGAAACGACUGCUAAUACCGCAUACGAUCUAAUCUCGGCAUCGAGGAUGGAUGAAAGGUGGCCUCUACAUGUAAGCUAUCACUGAAGGAGGGGAUUGCGUCUGAUUAGCUAGUUGGAGGGGUAACGGCCCACCAAGGCGAUGAUCAGUAGCCGGUCUGAGAGGAUGAACGGCCACAUUGGGACUGAGACACGGCCCAGACUCCUACGGGAGGCAGCAGUGGGGAAUCUUCCGCAAUGGACGAAAGUCUGACGGAGCAACGCCGCGUGAGUGAUGACGGCCUUCGGGUUGUAAGCUCUGUUAAUCGGGACGAAAGGCCUUCUUGCGAAUAGUGAGAAGGAUUGACGGUACCGGAAUAGAAAGCCACGGCUAACUACGUG